rnacentral:rRNA from 1 species
UACGUAGGGUGCAAGCGUUGUCCGGAUUUAUUGGGUUUAAAGGGUGCGUAGGCGGCCUGUUAAGUCAGUGGUGAAAUCCAACAGCUCAACUGUUGAUGUGCCAAUGAUACUGAUGGGCUUGAGUACAGACGAGGUAGGCGGAAUUGACAGUGUAGCGGUGAAAUGCAUAGAUAUUGUCAAGAACACCGAUAGCGAAGGCAGCUUGCUAGCCUGUAACUGACGCUGAGGCACGAAAGUGUGGGGAUCAAACAGG